GAUGAACGCUGGCGGCGUGCCUAAUACAUGCAAGUCGAGCGAACGGACGAGAAGCUUGCUUCUCUGAUGUUAGCGGCGGACGGGUGAGUAACACGUGGAUAACCUACCUAUAAGACUGGGAUCACUUCGGGAAACCGGAGCUAAUACCGGAUAAUAUUUUGAACCGCAUGGUUCAAAAGUGAAAGACGGUCUUGCUGUCUCUUAUAGAUGGAUCCGCGCUGCAUUAGCUAGUUGGUAAGGUAACGGCUUACCAAGGCAACGAUGCAUAGCCGACCUGAGAGGGUGAUCGGCCACACUGGAAGUGAGACACGGUCCAGACUCCUACGGGAGGCAGCAGUAGGGAAUCUUCCGCAAUGGGCGAAAGCCUGACGGAGCAACGCCGCGUGAGUGAUGAAGGUCUUCGGAUCGUAAAACUCGGUUAUUAGGGAAGAACAUAUGUGUAAGUAACCGUACACAGCGUGACGGUACCUAAUCAGAAAGCCACGGCUAACUACGUG
rnacentral:rRNA from 1 species